CUUCACCGAGCCGAGCCAGAGCGGACGGUCGUCCGGCCGGUUCUGCCCGUACGUCGCGAUGAUGGCCUGGGCCUC
rnacentral:antisense_RNA from 1 species